GGUUAAGCGACUAAGCGUACACGGUGGAUGCCCUGGCAGUCAGAGGCGAUGAAGGACGUGCUAAUCUGCGAUAAGCGCCGGUAAGGUGAUAUGAACCGUUAUAACCGGCGAUUUCCGAAUGGGGAAACCCAGUGUGAUUCGUCACACUAUCAUUAACUGAAUCCAUAGGUUAAUGAGGCGAACCGGGGGAACUGAAACAUCUAAGUACCCCGAGGAAAAGAAAUCAACCGAGAUUCCCCCAGUAGCGGCGAGCGAACGGGGAGGAGCCCAGAGCCUGAAUCAGCAUGUGUGUUAGUGGAAGCGUCUGGAAAGGCGCGCGAUACAGGGUGACAGCCCCGUACACAAAAGCGCAUGUGCUGUGAGCUCGAUGAGUAGGGCGGGACACGUGGUAUCCUGUCUGAAUAUGGGGGGACCAUCCUCCAAGGCUAAAUACUCCUGACUGACCGAUAGUGAACCAGUACCGUGAGGGAAAGGCGAAAAGAACCCCGGCGAGGGGAGUGAAAAAGAACCUGAAACCGUGUACGUACAAGCAGUGGGAGCACAGGUUUACCUGUGUGACUGCGUACCUUUUGUAUAAUGGGUCAGCGACUUAUAUUCUGUAGCAAGGUUAACCGAAUAGGGGAGCCGGAGGGAAACCGAGUCUUAAUUGGGCGUUAAGUUGCAGGGUAUAGACCCGAAACCCGGUGAUCUAGCCAUGGGCAGGUUGAAGGUUGGGUAACACUAACUGGAGGACCGAACCGACUAAUGUUGAAAAAUUAGCGGAUGACCUGUGGCUGGGGGUGAAAGGCCAAUCAAACCGGGAGAUAGCUGGUUCUCCCCGAAAGCUAUUUAGGUAGCGCCUCGUGAAUUCAUCUCCGGGGGUAGAGCACUGUUUCGGCUAGGGGGCCAUCCCGGCUUACCAACCCGAUGCAAACUGCGAAUACCGGAGAAUGUUAUCACGGGAGACACACGGCGGGUGCUAACGUCCGUCGUGAAGAGGGAAACAACCCAGACCGCCAGCUAAGGUCCCAAAGUCAUGGUUAAGUGGGAAACGAUGUGGGAAGGCCCAGACAGCCAGGAUGUUGGCUUAGAAGCAGCCAUCAUUUAAAGAAAGCGUAAUAGCUCACUGGUCGAGUCGGCCUGCGCGGAAGAUGUAACGGGGCUAAACCAUGCACCGAAGCUGCGGCAGCGAACGUAUCACCCAAGACAACUUUACGGAGUUGACGAUUGACGGAGCGAAGCGACGUCAAAGCGUUCAUUAAAGUCGAGUUGGCUUAGGGAUACGUUCGUUGGGUAGGGGAGCGUUCUGUAAGCCUGUGAAGGUGUGUCGUGAGGCAUGCUGGAGGUAUCAGAAGUGCGAAUGCUGACAUAAGUAACGAUAAAGCGGGUGAAAAGCCCGCUCGCCGGAAGACCAAGGGUUCCUGUCCAACGUUAAUCGGGGCAGGGUGAGUCGACCCCUAAGGCGAGGCCGAAAGGCGUAGUCGAUGGGAAACGGGUUAAUAUUCCCGUACUUGGUGUUACUGCGAAGGGGGGACGGAGAAGGCUAUGUUGGCCGGGCGACGGUUGUCCCGGUUUAAGCGUGUAGGUGUGUGUUCCAGGUAAAUCCGGUUCACUUUAACACUGAGGCGUGAUGACGAGGCACUACGGUGCUGAAGCAACAAAUGCCCUGCUUCCAGGAAAAGCCUCUAAGCAUCAGGUAACAUCAAAUCGUACCCCAAACCGACACAGGUGGUCAGGUAGAGAAUACCAAGGCGCUUGAGAGAACUCGGGUGAAGGAACUAGGCAAAAUGGUGCCGUAACUUCGGGAGAAGGCACGCUGACACGUAGGUGAAGUGAUUUACUCACGGAGCUGAAGUCAGUCGAAGAUACCAGCUGGCUGCAACUGUUUAUUAAAAACACAGCACUGUGCAAACACGAAAGUGGACGUAUACGGUGUGACGCCUGCCCGGUGCCGGAAGGUUAAUUGAUGGGGUCAGCGCAAGCGAAGCUCCUGAUCGAAGCCCCGGUAAACGGCGGCCGUAACUAUAACGGUCCUAAGGUAGCGAAAUUCCUUGUCGGGUAAGUUCCGACCUGCACGAAUGGCGUAAUGAUGGCCAGGCUGUCUCCACCCGAGACUCAGUGAAAUUGAACUCGCUGUGAAGAUGCAGUGUACCCGCGGCAAGACGGAAAGACCCCGUGAACCUUUACUAUAGCUUGACACUGAACAUUGAGCCUUGAUGUGUAGGAUAGGUGGGAGGCUUUGAAGUGUGGACGCCAGUCUGCAUGGAGCCGACCUUGAAAUACCACCCUUUAAUGUUUGAUGUUCUAACGUGGACCCGUAAUCCGGGUUGCGGACAGUGUCUGGUGGGUAGUUUGACUGGGGCGGUCUCCUCCUAAAGAGUAACGGAGGAGCACGAAGGUUGGCUAAUCCUGGUCGGACAUCAGGAGGUUAGUGCAAUGGCAUAAGCCAGCUUGACUGCGAGCGUGACGGCGCGAGCAGGUGCGAAAGCAGGUCAUAGUGAUCCGGUGGUUCUGAAUGGAAGGGCCAUCGCUCAACGGAUAAAAGGUACUCCGGGGAUAACAGGCUGAUACCGCCCAAGAGUUCAUAUCGACGGCGGUGUUUGGCACCUCGAUGUCGGCUCAUCACAUCCUGGGGCUGAAGUAGGUCCCAAGGGUAUGGCUGUUCGCCAUUUAAAGUGGUACGCGAGCUGGGUUUAGAACGUCGUGAGACAGUUCGGUCCCUAUCUGCCGUGGGCGCUGGAGAACUGAGGGGGGCUGCUCCUAGUACGAGAGGACCGGAGUGGACGCAUCACUGGUGUUCGGGUUGUCAUGCCAAUGGCACUGCCCGGUAGCUAAAUGCGGAAGAGAUAAGUGCUGAAAGCAUCUAAGCACGAAACUUGCCCCGAGAUGAGUUCUCCCUGAGACUUAGAGUCUCCUGAAGGAACGUUGAAGACGACGACGUUGAUAGGCCGGGUGUGUAAGCGCAGCGAUGCGUUGAGCUAACCGGUACUAAUGAACCGUGAGGCUUAACCUU
rnacentral:rRNA from 1 species